rnacentral:tRNA from 1 species
GCAGUGGUGGUUCAGGGGUAGGGUUCUUGCCUUCCGUGCAGAAGACCCAGGUUUGAUUUCUGACCACUGUA